ACAGCUUAUUCUACUUUAGUUUAUUGUAAUAUAGUUUAAUAUCUAACUUAAUAAUUUAGAUUACAAUAAUUCUAAACUAAAACAAAUAGAACAUGAGAACAUGAUAUUAUGAGAAAGUCGAUUACGAGAAUCCGAAAUAGCUAAAAUUACCAAUAUUCUAGUUCCUUGCUUAUUUUUUAUAGAGU
rnacentral:snRNA from 1 species